GUUUGUUUCUGAGACUGAAGACACCCAAUCUCAUCUGAUCUGCAAAGCUAAGCAGGGUUGGGCCUGGUUAGUAUUUGGAUGGGAGACUACCUGGGAAUACCAGGUGCUGUAAGCU
ensembl:rRNA 5S_rRNA 5S ribosomal RNA